rnacentral:tRNA from 1 species
GCUUUUAAAGGAAAAUAGUUAUCCACUGGCCUUAGGAGCCAUUCCCCCUGGUGCAAUUCUAGGUAAAAGCU